AUUGAACGCUGGCGGCAGGCCUAACACAUGCAAGUCGAACGAGUGGCGGACGGGUGAGUAAUGUCUGGGAAACUGCCUGAUGGAGGGGGAUAACUACUGGACACGGUAGCUAAUACCGCAUACCAUCGGAUGUGCCCAGAUUGGAUUUGCUAGGAGGUGGGGUAAAGGCUCACCUAGGGGACGAUCCCUAGCUGUUCUGAGAGGAUGACCAUCCACACUGGAACUGAGACACGGUCCAGACUCCGACGGGAGGCAGCAGUGGGGAAGAUUGAACAAUGGGCGCAAGCCUGAUGCAGCCAUGCCGCGUGUAUGAAGAAGGCCUUCGGGUUGUAAAGUACUUUCAGCGGGGAGGCGUUACCCGCAGAAGAAGCACCGGCUAACUCCGUGCCAGCAGCCGCGGUAAUAC
rnacentral:rRNA from 1 species